GAUUAACGCUAGCGGCAGGCCUAAUACAUGCAAGUUGAACGGCAGCACAGGUAGCAAUACUGGGUGGCGAGUGGCGCACGGGUGCGUAACACGUAUGCAACCUACCCUAUACAGGCGAAUAACCUUUAGAAAUGAGGGCUAAUACGCCGUAGUAUUACAGAUGGGCAUCUAUUUGUAAUUAAAGAUUUAUCGGUAUAGGAUGGGCAUGCGUCCCAUUAGUUAGUUGGUAAGGUAACGGCUUACCAAGACGAUGAUGGGUAGGGGAUCUGAGAGGACUUACCCCCACACUGGUACUGAGACACGGACCAGACUCCUACGGGAGGCAGCAGUAAGGAAUAUUGGGCAAUGGCCGCGAGGCUGACCCAGCCAUGCCGCGUGCAGGAAGACGGCCUUAUGGGUUGUAAACUGCUUUUAUACGGGAAUAAUAGAGUGUACGCGUACAUUUAUGCAAGUAUCGUAUGAAUAAGCAUCGGCUAACUCCGUG
rnacentral:rRNA from 1 species